rnacentral:rRNA from 1 species
GACAGAGGAUGCAAGCGUUAUCCGGAAUGAUUGGGCGUAAAGCGUCUGUAGGUGGCUUUUUAAGUCCGCCGUCAAAUCCCAGGGCUCAACCCUGGACAGGCGGUGGAAACUACCAAGCUGGAGUACGGUAGGGGCAGAGGGAAUUUCCGGUGUAGCGGUGAAAUGCGUAGAUAUCGGAAGGAACACCUGUGGCGAAAGCGGCUCACUGGACCAUAACUGACGCUGAGGCGCGAAAGCUAGGGGAGCAAACAGG